UGCAGUCGAGCGGUAACAGAGAGUAGCUUGCUACUCUGCUGACGAGCGGCGGACGGGUGAGUAAUGCUUGGGAAUGUACCUUAUGGUGGGGGACAACAGUUGGAAACGACUGCUAAUACCGCAUAAUGUCUUCGGACCAAAGCGGGGGACCUUCGGGCCUCGCGCCAUAAGAUCAGCCCAAGUGGGAUUAGCUAGUUGGUGAGGUAAUGGCUCACCAAGGCGACGAUCCCUAGCUGGUUUGAGAGGAUGAUCAGCCACACUGGGACUGAGACACGGCCCAGACUCCUACGGGAGGCAGCAGUGGGGAAUAUUGCACAAUGGGCGCAAGCCUGAUGCAGCCAUGCCGCGUGUGUGAAGAAGGCCUUCGGGUUGUAAAGCACUUUCAGUAAGGAGGAAAGGUUGGAUGUUAAUAGCAUUCAGCUGUGACGUUACUUACAGAAGAAGCACCGGCUAACUCCGUGCCAGCAGCCGCGGUAAUACGGAGGGUGCGAGCGUUAAUCGGAAUUACUGGGCGUAAAGCGUACGCAGGCGGUUUGUUAAGCGAGAUGUGAAAGCCCCGGGCUCAACCUGGGAACUGCAUUUCGAACUGGCAAACUAGAGUGUGAUAGAGGGUGGUAGAAUUUCAGGUGUAGCGGUGAAAUGCGUAGAGAUCUGAAGGAAUACCGAUGGCGAAGGCAGCCACCUGGGUCAACACUGACGCUCAUGUACGAAAGCGUGGGGAGCAAACAGGAUUAGAUACCC
rnacentral:rRNA from 1 species